ACUAUAUAGAAGUAAAAAAAGUUCAUUUGUGCCGUGGAAUAGAGAAGACGUAUACUAUUAUAUUUCACAUCUCUGGUUAGUCGACUGUUAACAGGUGUGCUAAAUGGCUUUCAAAUUCUUGCUGGUUUUGUGUUUUCUGAUAGCAGAGAUGGGAUUGAUUGAGACCAAAUCUCCUCCAGCCCCUAUUGUCGAUUCUGCUACUGCCAGGUCAAAGGUUGUGAAAUAUUUAAGAGAUAACCAAUACACACUGAAAAUAAACAUCAGCGACGAUUUGUCUGAAUACUCUGGUGGACUAAAGGAAUAUCGUACCGCAUAUAUAUCCCGAAUGUUUGUGCAUCAUUCACUCACCGACGACGGACCAAUCUACUUCAGUAUCGCCUUUAGUGAAAAGGUCCUGCCAUCAUCGUCUGUUCAGGACUUCAGGGACUCCUUGAAGUAUGUCGCACUGGAUGAGCUUCCCAUGCCCGGCUUUCAAUAUCCACGCGGCUGGAAAAUUUAUCCACUUACACCAUUUUCAAGUUUCAAAGACGGAGUUACGAUCGUCUCUUACCAAAAUGGGAGGCUUCACUUCAAAGUGGAUACCAGUUUUUUUGCAGUCGAUGGCAUUAUGAAAGGUUUGAAUCUACCAGCGGAUGCUAGAGUCCCGAAGUACGCAUAUUUUGAAGUCCGAAAAGAUAUUCAUGGCUUGAUUGAUGUGGACAUGCCUCUUGUCUUUGCAGACUUUGCUCAAACAGUUGCGAAGUAGAAGAACGCAAAAGUGUUACGAAGUAGCACAUUAAGAAAUUCCGUUUCGUAAAACCGUUUAAGGAUUAGGGGACGUAUUUAGCUAUAGAACACGUGCAAUUAGACUAGAUGACAUAUUCCAUUGUUUCAUUAAAAUCGA